AGGGUUGUAGUUUAGGGGUAGAGCUUAUGUUUUGCAUGAAUGAGGCCCUGAGUUCAAACCCUGGCAUCUCCA